rnacentral:tRNA from 1 species
GGGGAUUUGGCUCAGUGGUAGAGCGCUUGCCUAGCAAGUGCAAAGCCCUGGGUUCGGUCCCCAGCUCCU